rnacentral:tRNA from 1 species
AACAGGGUGGCGCAGUGGAAGCGUGCUGGGCCAUAACCCAGAGGUCAAUGGAUCGAAAACAUUUCCUGCUA